GGCAGGCGUCUUUGAGGCGCCCGACGGCAGGGACGCACCGGAUUUGAAAGCCGGGUGCAGGAGGCGUCCAUUUAGCGCAGGAGGUCGCUCCCAAGGCCAGCGGGCGUCAAUUUGUCGACAUCGGCAUCUAAAGCAGCGCGAGGAGUGGGUGGAUGGCUUGGAUAAAUCACCUUCUUCUGCUCCAAGAUGGAAGAGAAAGCAGUUCUGCUAUUCAAGUCAAAACUGCGGCCACAGAACCUUCUUUGCUUCAGUGUAAGAGAUGAAACUUGUCGAUGGGAAGAUGGAGAUUGGUGAGCUGCAAUGUGCUCUGAGGCUGAACCGUUCUCCUACUUUUUUUAGAUAAUAUAGGGUGACAUGCUGUUUCGGAAUGAUGGAGGUUAGCACCUGCACCUGCUACUGAUGGAAAGAGAAGAGGCUGCUGUAUCUCCACCUGUGUGCCAAGGAAGUAGUCUGCCGAAGCUAGCUAGGUAGCUAGCGUGGUUGAGUUGGUCAGGAUGCAGGCGGACGCGUCCGCAGACGUCCGCCCCGUGUCCGGGUAACCAGAUUAGCGGCUUCGCAGGUGUCCGCUAGUCUGUGACGGUGCGCCGC